CCAACGGCCCUCUUUAGGGCCACAAAUAACACGAAUCCUAAAAUAU
rfam:Caenorhabditis briggsae complete genome, chrIV